rnacentral:lncRNA from 1 species
AAACCCCAAAACAAUUCCCAAAAGCUCUUCCUUCUCUCUCUAGUCAUCUCCCAUUGAAAAAGCUUUGAUGCUUGGAGAAGAACACCAUAUCCCACAAGUUUCUACUUAAUUUCGUGGUGAUUCAUCUUCAAGGUAUGGAUUCUUUCACACUUGGGAUUUAUUUCUCCAAGAGGUCCCUACAAAAGAUGAUUUUUAAGUACUCCAAAUCUAGGGUUUUCUUCCAUGCAUGGGUCUUCUUUAAAAAUAAAAUUAUGAAUCAAUUGUGAUGAAUUAUGAUGAAUUAAUGUUGUUUAAGUAUAUAUUUAUGGUUACAUGCUGAUUUCCUAUGAGAUUUCCUUAGGAUUGACACCCGAUUUUGGCUCUCUCCUACGAUAAUUAAUUUUUGAGCUUCUUCAUUCUUAAACAAUCUAAGAUUAUUAGUUUUUAUAAAAUUUUGAGGAAAUACAAGCUUACAAAUUUUUUGAAUAACUUUGACAAAUUAUAUUAAAUAAGUUUGGUCACUUUUUUGUAUUUUUAGCAAUAUAUAGGCACGUUUAAUAAAGCUUUGUACAUAAAAAAAUCUAUUUUAUAGAUAUUUCGAAAAGCAUCUCAAAGGAUUUUAAUUCCUAGUAAGUAUAUUGGCUAAAUUAAUUUGGUAAAUUAUGGUUAUAAUUUCUAACCAUCGCUUUUUAAUUAAGUUAAUUAUUUUGUCUUUUUAAAAAUCAAGAAGCUCCUAAAUUUAUUACAUUGGUUCUUUUUGUUUUGAUUUUAACUAUAUUCGGGAUUGAACACAAUAUGGGUGAUUUAAUACGUCAUGUAAGACCGAUUGUGGGCCUGAAUAAAUUUUCUCAGCAGCCUACUCCCCUUAUGGUUUCAUCUUGCAUUCGUCCAAGCCCAUUCCAAAUCGGCCCACAUUUACCCUUAACCCGGUCCAUAGCUUUGUCGCAUUCCACAAAGAAAAGAUCAGAACACAUAGUAACCAAAUACACCAAAUUUCAGCGCGUCGAUAGCAACCCUCAAUUCCUAGCAGCCAAAUCAGGUGUGUCGUGACAAAAAUACCAGAACGCUCAGCUUCGUCUCCUCGCCUCUCCCUACAAGGAUCCUGCGUUUACAACAACGACCAAGAACUCCAACUUGUCCUUGGUGGCGUGAGAUCAUACCAUGUCAACGCCAAGGACGAUAGAGUCGAUCAAGACCAUCAAUGCAAUCUUACCUGUUAUGGGUAAAGGCAAUAACCUUCAGAAAAGCUUUUCGAUCCAAAAUUGGAAAAGGGUUUUGAAAUUUGAAUUUGGGUUGGCCUUUCCCGUCAUGAUUUGGUCGUUUUCCCCCAAAAAUCCAACCCUAAUUUUCCCAAUAUAUAUAUUCUAUUGCUCACUGUGAAAAGGGAGAUUCGAUUUUUCUUGAGAUUUUUGGAGACAAGGGGGAUUUGAUUUUUCUUGAGAUUCCAAGAAGAAUAGAGGAUAGAUUUUAGUUGAGAAGACAAGUGCAGAAGAAAUUUAAAAGGAUUUUAAUCAAGGUUAAGAAAAUAGUUUGAGCGGUCAGUCCCAAAAUACAUAGGCAACAUAUUCGAAGAAGGGUGAACCGGAUUUCUCUCGCUGUUCUGUUUGGGUUUAUGUGGUUGAGGUUCAUCUUCCUACUCGUGUAGUGCCUGUUCCACUGCCCAUAAAAAGAUGGAGCUAUUUCCUUCAAGUCACACUUUCCCUUUCCUUCCUUGAGAUGAAGAACUCACAAUUUCUUUUAUCCGAGCUGAAGAUCAAACUGAAGAUCGAGCAACAAAACUCAUCGAGCUGACCGAACUUUCUCUUUUCCGAGCUGAAGAUUUUGUCAAGGUAAGAGCUGAAGAUUUCAUCAAGCUUCAUCAUAUUGAAUAAAUUUUUAUAUUUUUUGUUUAAAAGGAAUUGAUUGGGGUUGUUAGCAAGAUGAACUGAAGUUAAGCCUUUUCGUCACACUUUUCUCUCAGAUUUCUCGUUGCAUGACUUGAUUUUAGACAGAUUUAGGAUUUACCUGGUAAGAAUUCUAUCUUUGAAAGUCUAAUUUCUAGCUUUAGAUUUUUGAUGUUCUUGUGUUUUUGUACAAUUUUUGGGAGUCUAGCUCGUAAUUUAGCUGUACUAGUUGAUUUCUGGGUGCCUUGAGCCUUCAUACCUUGUAUCGUGAUGUUGAACUAAUGAAAAGCAGAAAACUGAAUGAACUGAGAAAACUGAAUGAACUGGGUCGACGGACCUCACAAUGGGACGUCAUGGUCACGACGAGCCGUCAUGGACCUCGCGAUGGAUCGGUCGUAGUCAUGAGAGGCCGUCGUGGUCAGACGGGUCGUGGUCAUGACGGGUCGUCGUGGUCAUCCGUCGUGGUCAUGACGGGCCGUUGUGGACUCCGUCGUCCCAUACAUGCAAAUUUCUUCUGCUACUUCUCUGAUCUUCAUGACGAACAUGCAGGACGGACCGUCAUGGCUACGAUGGUCCGUCACGCUUUCUGUUACA